rnacentral:rRNA from 1 species
GAUCUCGAAAGCCUGUCCCAUUCGGACUGGAGUCUGCAACCGACUCCACGAAGUUGGAUUCGCUAGUAAUCGCGCAUCAGCCAUGGCGCGGUGAAUACGUUCCCGGGCCUUGUACACACCGCCCGUCAAGCCAUGGGAGCCGGGGGCGCCUGAAGUCCGGGACCGCGAGGACCGGCCUAGGGCGAAACUGGUAACUGGGGCUAAGUCGUAACAAGGUAUC